GACGUAGGGCGCGAGCGUUGUCCGGAUUUAUUGGGCGUAAAGAGCUCGUAGGCGGCUUGUCGCGUCGUCCGUGAAAACCCACAGCUCAACUGUGGGCUUGCGGUCGAUACGGGCAGGCUAGAGUUCGGUAGGGGAGACUGGAAUUCCUGGUGUAGCGGUGAAAUGCGCAGAUAUCAGGAGGAACACCGGUGGCGAAGGCGGGUCUCUGGGCCGAUACUGACGCUGAGGAGCGAAAGUGUGGGGAGCGAACAGG
rnacentral:rRNA from 1 species